rnacentral:rRNA from 1 species
GCCGCGCAGGCGACUCUUUCAGGGCCGCCUCGCAC